GACUUUGUGGCCCGAUGGUAAGGCGCUCAUCGCGGAGACAGAGGGUCCUGGGUUCGAUCCCCGAUAGGGUCG
rnacentral:tRNA from 1 species